rnacentral:rRNA from 1 species
UACAGAGGGUGCGAGCGUUGUCCGGAAUCACUGGGCGUAAAGGGCGCGUAGGCGGCUUUUCAAGCGUGCGGUGAAAGCUCGGGGCUUAACUCCGAGUCUGCCGUGCGAACUGGGAGGCUUGAGUCUGGUAGAGGUCGAUGGAAUUCCGGGUGUAGCGGUGGAAUGCGUAGAGAUCCGGAAGAACACCGGUGGCGAAGGCGGUCGACUGGGCCAGUACUGACGCUCAUGCACGAAAGCGUGGGGAGCAAACAGG